rnacentral:lncRNA from 1 species
AAUUCAAUUAGUGUGGAAAACCAAAACUUAAAUGAAAAAAGGCCAUCUCUGUAAGAAGUAGUCAGUCAGCAGAGACCUAUAAUACCUGAACUAGUGCUCUUCUGCAUUGUGCAUAUGGCAAGGGUGACUGGAUGGUUAAAAAAUUCCAUAGUAGUUUGAUUUAAAUGAGGCCAUGGAAAAACAUACUCCAGCCUUGGUCUAAGUGGGACAUCAGGCUGCUUCAUAAUGCUGAAAGGAGGAAAUCAAUUCCUUGGUAAAUAACUUGUGUUGUCUUUUCCUGUAGGAGUCUUUCGGAGCCUGCAAAAGUUUGGACUGACCACUGGCCAUUACUCUAGAACUGCUUUAUUUCAAGGCAUGAUCACGCAGAAACACCAGAAGCUGUGGAUGGUGGGCAAGGGAGAAAAGACAGUUCAUACACCACUACAUGUAGGAGUGACACCCAGGUUACUGAAGACUGAGCUGAGCCAAGAACCACCCUGUCAACACUCCUUCUUUGUGCCAAAAAAGUUGGCUAGAGAAAAUCCUCACAGACCAGGGAAGUUCAGUAAGUCUUUGACAACAUCCAGACCUGUGUAUUAAUGCAGCAGUGGAGCCCUGGUUGUUGUAAAUGAACACAAUGAAAUGUACUUGAGGAAGGAAGCAGUGGCUAGGAGUCACACGCUGCAGUUGCCAUUUGUUCAGGUGAGAUUCUUCCAGUGUACUUUUGGUUGUGAGUUCCCUUCCCUCUGGCCAGGAUGACAAUGACAUAAUUUGAAAUGUCCCAUUUCUUCCUGUAACUGC